rnacentral:rRNA from 1 species
ACUCCUACGGGAGGCAGCAGUGGGGAAUCUUGGACAAUGGGGGCAACCCUGAUCCAGCCAUGCCGCGUGAGUGAUGAAGGCCCUAGGGUCGUAAAGCUCUUUCGCCUGUGAAGAUAAUGACUGUAGCAGGUAAAGAAACCCCGGCUAACUCCGUGCCAGCAGCCGCGGUAAUACGGAGGGUGCGAGCGUUAAUCGGAAUUACUGGGCGUAAAGCGUGCGUAGGCGGCUUGGUAAGCCGGUUGUGAAAGCCCGGGCUCAACCUGGGAACGGCAUCCGGAACUGUCAGGCUAGAGUGCAGGAGAGGAAGGUAGAAUUCCCGGUGUAGCGGUGAAAUGCGUAGAGAUCGGGAGGAAUACCAGUGGCGAAGGCGGCCUUCUGGACUGACACUGACGCUGAGGUACGAAAGCGUGGGUAGCAAACAGGAUUAGAUACCCUGGUAGGCUCUGC